CUACGAGGGUAUCUAAUCCUCUUCGCUACCCAUGCUUUCGCACCUCAGUGUCAGUAAUGAUCGAUCAUUACUGACACUGAGGUGCGAAAGCAUGGGUAGCGAAGAGGAUUAGAUACCCUCGUAGUCCAUGCCGUAAACGAUGUGUGCUAGACGUUGGGAAUUUAUUUUUCAGUGUCGCAGCAAAAGCGUUAAGCACACCGCCUGGGGAGUACGACCGCAAGGUUAAAACUCAAAUGAAUUGACGGGGACCCGCACAAGUAGUGGAGCAUGUGGUUUAAUUCGAAGAUACGCGCAGAACCUUACCAACACUUGACAUGUUCGUCGCGACUCUAAGAGAUUAGAGUUUUCGGUUCGGCCGGACGAAACACAGGUGCUGCAUGGCUGUCGUCAGCUCGUGUCGUGAGAUGUUGGGUUAAGUCCCGCAACGAGCGCAACCCUUACUUUUAGUUGCUACCAUUUAGUUGGGCACUCUAGAAGAACUGCCGGUGAUAAGCUGGAGGAAGGUGGGGAUGACGUCAAGUCCUCAUGGCCCUUAUGUGUUGGGCUACACACGUGCUACAAUGGUAUUUACAGUGGGAUGCAAAGAGGCAACUCCUAGCCAACCCCCAAAAAAUACCUCAGUUCGGAUUGUACUCUGCAACUCGAGUACAUGAAGCUGGAAUUACUAGUAAUCGCGAAUCAGCGUGCCGCGGUGAAUACGUUCCCGGGUCUUGUACACACCGCCCGUCACACCAUGGAAGUUGGUUACACCUUAAGGCAAAGUGUAAAACCUUUGACUACGGUACGAUCAGCGACUGGGGUGAAGUCGUAACAAGGUAGCCGUAGGGGAACCUGCGGCUG
rnacentral:rRNA from 1 species